GACGAACGCUGGCGGCGUGCCUAAUACAUGCAAGUCGAACGCAGUGGGGACGGGUGAGUAACACGUGGGUAACCUCCCAUCAGAGGGGAUAACACUUGGAAACAGGUGCUAAACCGAUACCGAUGGAUGGACCCGCGGUGCAUUGGCUAGUUGGUGAGGUAACGGCUCACCAAGGCCACGACGCAUAGACGACCGGCGAGGGUAAUCGGACACACUGGGACUACGAAACGGCCCGGACGCCAACGAGGGGAAGCAGUAGGGAAUCUACGGCAAUGGACAAAAGUCUGACCAGGCAAGGCGGCGUGAGUGAUGAAGGUCUUCGGAUCGUAAAACUCUGUUAUUAGGGAAGCGGUACCUAAUCAGAAAGCCACGGCUAACUACGUGCCAGCAGACGCGGUAAUUC
rnacentral:rRNA from 1 species